rnacentral:lncRNA from 1 species
GUCCACAUGCUUUUUUUCUUUUACACAGCACAAACAACAUCCAUCAGGAUAUUGAAAAAUCCAGUGGUUUUCCACCUCUCCCCUCGUCUGCCUCCUCUCUCCUCUACUCUAUUUCCGUCUCCAUCAACACAGCAAUUGACUAUCCAUCACUAUUGUUCAAGAAAACCAAAUCCCAAUGCUCUGCAAUUUCAGGAAGAAAUGGAGAAAUGGAAUAUCCAUCAGUUUCAAGGGGCUCUUGCCGUCGAUUCGACAACUAUCAAGGUUCAAACCGACGGGUCCAAGCCUCUUCGCCCCCAAUCCAUCACUUCUCCUUAAUAUCAGUCGAAAAGGUGACCCCUUUCUCUUCAUUGUUGAUCUCUCUGAUUAUCUCCUGCAAUUGGUGUUCUCAAGAACAUCAAAAUUCAAAUUUGAUUUUUUUUCUCCAAGAGUCGUUGCAGUUUGGCCUAUAAAAGGGGGCUUUGUUCACGCUUAUGAAAAAACUUAAGAGAAAAGUGAUAGAGAAUUGGGGGAAUAUAUUGAGUUCUUUCAUACUCUUCCAUUCACUAACUUCUCUAUUAUCUUUGUUUUCUUUCUUUCGGUCCCCGACGAAUUUCUACCGCUUUUCAUUGUUUCGUCCUGACACCUAAGGUAGAAGUUGGUGGUGAAGAGCCUUUUAGACUCCUCGUCGUCUCAGCUCACUAAACCAUAAAAGGUAACCUCUCUUCCUCCCUUUCUGUUCAAUUGUAUUUUUCCGUUUCUCGUUUCGUUGAUGUCUGGGACUAUAUGGCUUUGUAAUGGCUAAAUCCCUUUUAUAUAUUGUUUAAUUGUAUGUUAAUAUCUGAACAUUUAUUAUAGUCGUUUGCUUAGUCGUUAUGACUGUUGAAAGAGUAUAGACUAAGAGGAGCAUUUUGAUGGAUGUUAAAGGAAGAUGGAGAACGUCACAUGACGUUCGUCGUUUAUCUCCGUCCUCUGCUCGUAAAAUACUCCAAAUAUCCCCAUUCCUAUUUUCUCCUGAUGCUUCAGUUCUCUUCAAGCAAAGAGAUUAUUUUAAGCUCAUGUUUGUGGUUCGUGGCUCUUAUAUUUGUUCGUGCUAAAGAUUUGUUGCUGUUUUUUCUUUAAUUUCCUUGGCAUACUGUUUUAACAUUUAAUCCAAGCAUGGGGUAAGAGGCUGAUCAUAUAUGCAUCAUAGAAUGAAUAAUUACAGCCUUAGAGUGUUUGCUACUCCCACUUCCCUUUUUUCCUAAUUCGUAUAAUUUUUUUCCUUUUCCGUCCGCCCCAUCGAUUUUUUAGAGUACUCCUAUCUAGCUAUUUAGUAGAAAUUUGAGAUGUGGGGAUGUUCAUGUGAGCGUUAUGCAGUAAAAGAAAAUAUACUUUGGUGUUAGUCACUUUCACCUCUCUUUUCCUCAAUAAAUUUUGCAUAAGUUUCUUCCCACCUGUUAUUCCCUCAUGAAUAUCUCAUGUUGUUUUUAUUGCUGCCCUUUUAUUGUCUAAAUUAGUUAUUUUGACUCAAAAUAAGUAUAUGGUUAAGGGAUGCAUCCAUUGACACCACAUAUAGAAGAAGAACACUUCGUGGUGUUCAUUAUUCUAUACCUCUCUUUUCCUCAAAUACUUUGAGCAAGUUCCUCCCCUCACUCCCUUAUGUGAAAGUAUUUUCGUAGCCUAUGUGAUCAGAUUUUUGUUUGAGUUCGAGUGGCCGUUGGUUUUGCUCGACUCCGUACUUGAAUGCGCUCCCAAAAGAGGAUGUUCUAGCCUUUCCUUUUGAUCCGUUUAUGGCUAGAUAUUUCUUUCUAGAAUAUGUCCCUUUGUUCCUUUAUGAACUAAGUAUAUGAUGUGCUUUCCUGGUUGAGCUUGAAGUUUUAUAAAGUUGCAUCCAAGUUUUAAUUAAAGUCUCCAGGCAAGGAUUCCUAAAUGAGAUAGGCUUUAUGGUUAAAACUUGACUUUUUUUCUCUCUUUUGCAUCUGCACUAGUAGCAUAACGUAACGGGAGGCUCAUUUGAGUUUGAAGGAAAGAAGUUAACAUAUUGUAAUGUUUACUUUCACACUUUUCUUCUUGCUGAAACAUACAUGAGAUGUGCCUGACUACAUAUUCCUUUAAAUUAAUAUCAUCUGUGAAUUUUGGUUUUCCUUUUUCUAUGCAUAAAAUGGUAUUUCUAUUUCUUGGGAUCUUUGAAAUAAAAGUAACAAGUUAGGUAUGCACUGUCCAUGAAAUCUUGUCUUCUUUACAUUUGCUAGCUACGAAUAAUGAAUUAGAUGUUUCAAGUUUUAUGAUUAUUUUAACAUCUUUUUUUUUUGGUCGACUAUGAGCUUAUAAGUAUCAUGUUUAACCGAGUCCUUUUUUUUUAUUUUUAGAAACUUGAAUAACUAAUCCUUAUCUUCUCUUUAUUGCAUGAACUCCUUUGUGAGUCCCCCGGACUCCCAUUUCUCACAUUCGGUUGAGUUAAACCCAACCUCCAUCGAGUCAAAGCCUCAACCGAAUUCACAAACGAGCUGGUAUGAAUUGAUAUACUCUGAUAUAUGAUGAAUAUACUCUGAAUUGGUGUUGGGGUGGGGUUAAGAGGGUGUGGGUGUGGGUGUGGGUGUGGGUGUGGGUGUGGGUGUGGGUGUGGGUGUGGGAGUGGGUGGGGAUGGGCUGGGUGGGNNNNNNNNNNNNNNNNNNNNNNNNNNNNNNNNNNNNNNNNNNNNNNNNNNNNNNNNNNNNNNNNNNNNNNNNNNNNNNNNNNNNNNNNNNNNNNNNNNNNNNNNNNNNNNNNNNNNNNNNNNNNNNNNNNNNNNNNNNNNNNNAAAUUAUUUUUAUAUUUUUGAAAAUAUUUUUAAAUUAGUUUUAAAUUUUUAAAUUUAAAAAGAUGGAGGGAAAAAAGGACUCUUUUUAAAUUUUAAUAUUUUUUUAAUUAUUUUAAUGUAAAAUUGAUCAAAAAUUGACCCCCACUCGCACCCUCAGGCAAGUGGCUACACUCUCUUUGUUCUUUGUCCUAAUUACCAUAACCUUGCCACAUAGGCAAGGUCAACGGUCAAAAAGUGUAAAAUGUUACUUUUUGAUGGGUUCAAGGGUCCAGAUGAUAAAUAUGUAAGUAGAAAUGUCCAACUUACAAAAUCGACAUAGAACAGGGGUCCAGAAGGUCAUUUUGCCUAAUUAAUAACAUGGUUAGUUUAUCAUAGUGCCCCUAUUAAAUGAUGUUUACAUUUUAAUUUGAAGAUAAAUUUUUGUCUCUUGUUGAUUAAUGAAAAAGGACAAGUAAAAUAGAAAAUCAAAUUAGGAAAUUUGGGACGGAGGGAGUACGUUGUAUACGCAGUAGUAGUAUAUUGAAAAACGCAGGAAAGAAGCCACUGAUAUACCACAGAUAUACAGGGGUAAAAAAUGGGCUAAAGUUCAUGGAAUUGGUCCAAAAUUGGACAGAUUUUUAAUGGGCCAAAAGGGGCCCAGUUUUCACUCUUCUCUAUUUAAUUAUCCAUUUUUAUUUAUUUAUUUGUAUUUGCUUGAACACCUUAAUUAAUUAAUCUAAGAUAAGUUCCUCAAGGUGUUACCAUUUUUAUUUUAUCUUCAUUUUUGCUAUCUUUACUUAUUUGAAUCUUCCUUUUUUUUUUUUUAAAUAAUAAUAAUAAUAAUAAUAAUAAUAAUAAUAAUAAUAAUAAUAAAGCAAGAGUCAUUUAUGAAUAGUAAAAAACACUUAGCUUUUUGAAAAAGCAAGGGUCGUUUAUAAAUAGUAAAGGCCAAUUGUGAAUAGUAAGGGCCAUUUCUUGUUUUGUCCUUUGUAUAGAGCAUCCAUUAUAUAAGGAGCUCAUUUUUCAUUUUUUAAGGACAGGUUUUAGAACUACCAUUUUUUCUCUACUACUCUCUCUCCCUUGUAAUAUGUAUCUUGGUUUGAAAUAAAAGCUUUUGGUUCUGUGCACAAUUCAUCCAUAUUAUGGUUAUUUUUAAAUUUCUGCAUUUUAAUUUUAAUUGGAGAUGGUAUAAAGAUGUAUUCCUUUCUAGAGUGAUGAAAUUACCUGAGAUUAAUAGUUCUCAUUGGAAGUCCAAGUUUAUAGAUGGUCUUCCCAUGUUAUUUGCUGAAAGAAUUAGGAAAACCUUAGAGAUCCUAAUGUGAGUAUUAACUAUGAGGCUUACAUCUAUGAUUACCUUAUAAAGGUUGUUACUCAAGAAGAUUUAGCUUUAUGUAGUGAGAUUAAGUUAAAUCAAUAGAUUAAGAAGUAUCGUCGUACUGAAAGACAAUAGCUGGGAGAAUUUUGUGAGCAAUUUGCUAUAGAUAUUCCCAAAACCUUUGGAGAAUCUCAUAAAGAGUAAGAAAAAGUACUCUAGGGAGAAAAAAGUCUAAAAAGAUUGAGAAGAAGGGAAAAAGAAAAGAGGAUUACAAAUCCAAUAAAGCUUAUAGAAAGCCAAGAAGGCCAACACUUGUUACCGAUGUGGUAGAUUUGGUCACUUUGCAAAAGAUUGCAAAGUAAAAAGUAAGAUCAAGAGUCUCACUAUUGAUGAUGAUAUUAAAGACUCUUUGUGUAAGAUUUUGCUCAAUUCCUCUCCAAAAAACUCCAGUUCGGACCAUAGUGAUAAUGAGGAAAAUGAUUCAAUCGAUGAGGACUUGCGAGUUCUCUCCACCAAGAAGACUAUAUGCCUUCAGAUGAUGAGUGCAUACUUUGCCAAGAAGGACAACCUUGUACAAACAAGGAGGAUGGGGAUGUUUUAUACAACAUCAUAUCCCAAUUUCAAUAUAUAGAAAUUAAUGUCUUGAAAGAUGACAAAUUAGCAGCUCUACUAGAAAUGCUAAAAGACCUGGGUAAGCAGGAUGAUAAGCCAUCCACCAGUUCUUCCCCUCUUCAGGAGGAAAUGCAUAUUAUUCCCUCCCAAAAAGGUCUUUAUACCAUGACCGAAGUUAAUAAACUUUUAAGGGAAAGACGGAAGGUUGAAGUUAUUCCAGCAACAACCCAGGACCUGAAGAAUGAGAUAGAUAAUCUCAAGAAGGGAAUAUCUUUCCUUAAGAGGCAUAAUUUGGCAUUAGAUCAAAGGGUUUCUGCUUUAGAAAACCCAAAAUUAUUACCCGCUGAGGUAGAUAAGCAGGGCAGGCUGUAACUGCAUUUAAGAAGGUAUGAUACCUUUAAGAUAUUUCAAAAAGACCACUAAUACUGUGAGGAAUGCAAAUGGUCAGAAAAUGGGAGUCGAAUAUAGAAUCCCUAAAGCGUACAUUUGCAAAAACAAAGUUUGUAUGCCUGAAACUUUUGUUUUAGUUAAAGAUAUUACCGAUGAGCUUAUCUUAGGGAAACCUUGGUUUCUACAUUUGUAUUCGUUAGUCCGUUGGGAUGAAAAAGGUAUCAUUGAAACUUUAAUAAUAAACAUAUUCAGUUUGACUGGUGUGAUCCACUCUAUACCAGAUAUUUAAAUCGAUGAGGACCUGCGAGUUCUCUCCACCAAGAAGACUAUAUGCCUUCAGAUGAUGAGUGCAUACCUUGCCAAGAAGGACAACCUUGUACAAACAAGGAGGAUGGGGAUGUUUUAUACAACAUCAUAUCCCAAUUUCAAUAUAUAGAAAUUAAUGUCUUGAAAGAUGACAAAUUAGCAGCUCUACUAGAAAUGCUAAAAGACCUGGGUAAGCAGGAUGAUAAGCCAUCCACCAGUUCUUCCCCUCUUCAGGAGGAAAUGCAUAUUAUUCCCUCCCAAAAAGGUCUAUAUACCAUGACCGAAGUUAAUAAACUUUUAAGGGAAAGACGGAAGGUUGAAGUUAUUCCAGCAACAACCCAGGACCUGAAGAACGAGAUAGAUAAUCUCAAGAAGGGAAUAUCUUUCCUUAAGAGGCAUAAUUUGGCAUUAGAUCAAAGGGUUUCUGCUUUAGAAAACCCAAAAUUAUUACCCGCUGAGGUAGAUAAGCAGGGCAGGCUGUAACUGCAUUUAAGAAGGUAUGAUACCUUUAAGAUAUUUCAAAAAGACCACUAAUACUGUGAGGAAUGCAAAUGGUCAGAAAAUGGGAGUCGAAUAUAGAAUCCCUAAAGCGUACAUUUGCAAAAACAAAGUUUGUAUGCCUGAAACUUUUGUUUUAGUUAAAGAUAUUACCGAUGAGCUUAUCUUAGGGAAACCUUGGUUUCUACAUUUGUAUUCGUUAGUCCGUUGGGAUGAAAAAGGUAUCAUUGAAACCUUAAUAAUAAACAUAUUCAGUUUGAAUGGUGUGAUCCACUCUAUACCAGAUAUUUAAAUUUGAUUAAAGAAAAGAUUAUUUCAAAAAAAUAGGCAGAUGGAAUUUUUGAAAAAUGAAAUUUGGAGUUUGACUAUCAAUGAAACUCUUCAAAAACCAAAAUUACUUGAAAAAAUUGAGUUUCUAAAAAAUCAGUUGUCAAUUAAAAUUUAUGGGGAUCAUCUAAAUGCAUUUUGGCAAAGGAAACAUGUUUUUAGUCUCCCAUAUGAAAAUGAUUUCCAAGAAGGUAAUAUACCGACUAAGGUCAGACCUUGUCAAAUGAGUUCUGACUAUUUAGAAUUAUGUAAAAAAGAAAUUGAAUCUCUUUUUCAUAAGGGCCUGAUUCGACCAUCUAAGUCUCCAUGGUCAUGUACUGCUUUUUAUGUGAAUAAGCAUGCAGAACAAGAACGAGGAGUUCCGAGGUUAGUUAUCAAUUACAAACCUUUGAAUAAAGUCCUCAAAUGGAUUAGAUGUCCAAUUCCCAAUAAGAAGGAUUUAUUAGAUCGUUUGUAUGAUGCUCUAAUAUUUUCAAAAUUUGAUUUGAAAUUAGGUUAUUGGCAAAUCCAGAUAUUAGAAACUACAACAACAACAUACCUAGUGUAUUCCCACCUAGUGGGGUCUGGGGAGGGUAGAGUGUACGCAGAUCAUACCACUACCUCAAGAGAAGUAGAGAUACUGUUUUCGAUAGACCCCUAGCUUAGGACCAAUAACAGUAUAACAAAUACAAAAAGUAAGCGGAUACAAAUUAGUAUGGUACACAAAACAUACUAACAAUAUAACAAACACAAAAGAUAAGUGCAUAAUAAACUAGUACGGGAUGUAAAAAAGCCAACACUACUAAUCCCAAAAACUACAACCCCAUCACUAUGAACCAGAAACUGCAGACCCAAAGGAGCACUCCCCUAUUACUACCGUCGCGCUCCCACUCCCUAACUCUUUAUACUAAUCUGUGUCCUCCACACCUUCCUAUUAAGGGUCAUGUCCUCUGUAAGUUCUAAUUGCUCCAUAUUAUGCCUAAUCACCUUCCUCCAAUAUUUCUUCGGUCUGCCUCUAGCCCGCCUAAAACCAUCCAUAGCCAGCGUCUCACACCUCCGCACUGGAGCAUCAGAGCCCUUCCUCAUUAUAUGCCCGAACCAAUGUAGCCUCACUUCUCGCAACUUAUCCUCUACCGAGGCAACUUUCACCUUCUCCCGAAUAAUCUCAUUCAAAUAAUCUCAUUCCUCACCCUAUCUUUCCUGGUAUGUCCACACAUCCAUCGCAACAUUCACAUCUUUGCCACCUUCACCUUUUGGAUGUGGGAGUUCUUAACUCCGCUCCAUACAACAGAGCCGUCCGGAUUACCACUCUGUAGAAGUUACCUUUAAGCUUCGGGGGCACUUUCUUAUCACAAAGGACUCCCGAAGCGAGCCUCCACUUGCAAAUCCCAAUUGGGCAAAAAUAAUUGAUGCUGAUGCAUCUGACAUUGGAUAUGGUGGAAUUCUCAAGCAAUAUUCCCCAGAAGAAAAAUGUGUUCAUAUUGUUCAAUAUUAUUCUGAAAAAGGGAGUGCUAGCCAAAAAAAAUUAUGCAACUGUAGCUAAAGAAAUUUUUGCUAUAGUUAAAUGUGUUCUUAAAUUUCAAAGUGAUCUUUAUAAUCAAAAGUUCCUAAUUAGGACUGAUUGCCAAGCUGCAAAAUUUAUCUUUAAUAAAGAUUUUAAACAUGAUGUUUCUAAGCAAAUGUUUGCAAGAUGACAGGCUUUGUUAGCCCCAUUUGAUUUUGAAAUCUAAUACUUAAAAGGAUCGGAUAAUAGUCUACCCGAUUUUUUAACCAGUGAAUUUUUAAGCUAAUGUUUUCUCUUAUGGAUUUCAGGAUGGCCUCACGAGGAUCCUCUUCUUCUUCAUUUAGAGGAAGAGGUGGAAGAAAUUCACCAAAAGGCAGAGGUAAUGUCCUCGUCCAAAUUGAAAAUCAGAGGCUGAUAUCCUCGAGCAUUGCAAGCUCAAGUUCUUCUGGUAUGAAUACAGAUGAACAAACAUAUCAAGAAUUUUUUGAAUUCAUGAAAUUCAAGUCUAAGAAAUAUGGGGAUACUGAGGUCCCUUUCGUAUUCAAGUAUUAUUAACGAUGACAAUUGGAAUACUGAGUUGUAUGAAUGCAACAAGACAGAGGAAGUCAUAAUUUUCCUCGAAGACCAUGAUCUUAGAUGGAAAGAUAAUCUUUGGCAGCUGAUGCAAAGGUAUUUGGAUAAUAUAUUUUAUGCUGCGGUAUCUUACAAAUAUCGCAAACAUUAUCAAUCCAUAUAUUAUCUGCAAUGGGUUCUGCAGAAAUCCAACAUUUAUAUGUUAAUGAAGCAGUCAAAAAGGAUUAUAGUUAUUCUAAAAUUAUAAUCAAACAGAUUUUGACUAAUGAAGAAUGAGGCUUGAGUACCCUAAAAGAAAGAAUAUAUACAUCCCGAACAACAGGAAGUUACUGUAAAAUAUAAUUACUGAGAUUAUAUGGAAAGCUUUGAUAAGGUUUUCUUAUGUGAUAAUCUUGAGAGAUCUCAUUCAUGGUUUGUGAAAAUAUGCGCAAAUGUGCACAAACAGAGCAUACCAAAUUGGUUUGCUAAAUGGUGGAUCUUGCAUGGUCCCUUACCAAAUAUAUUGUCUGAGCCAUUUAAAAGUCUGUACAAGGAUUGGAUAGAAGUAUCACCAAUACUUCUAAAAAUGCAAAAAGAUAAUGCAUAUUUUGAAGGAAUAUCUAUGAUGUAUUUCUUUAUUGAAUUUUCAAUUCAGUGGAUCUUGAAGUGGUCUAUAAAGGUAAAAUCAAAUACUAAUAAUUUACCAUGUUUGAUGCGGGUUUAUUAUACAAAAUUUUGGAGUAAAUCAAACCAGCAAACUGGUAACGGUAAUGUCCAUGGUCACCAACUAAUUGAAUCAAUAAAGAUAACUGUUGCAAAAUAUAGACAACAAAAAGAAAUGGAGUCUCCUCAUGAGCAGGAAGAGCUUAGCCCUUUCAAGAACAUCACUAGAAAGCUUCAAAUGAAGAAGGGCACAAUGACAAAAGCUUGAAAUUUGGCAUCCUAUAUGGAAGAAGUCAAAAAAGAUUUAUUGAAAAAUCUUGAUCAGGAGUACACUUUAAAUAUGUCUAUCUUUUCUGUAGGGGAUUGCUUGGCUGGUGAGUCGCAGGAUAUCCAGAGUGAUGAAGAAAUAGAUUUGGAUGAUUAUUUGCGAAAUUUCAAACAACCAUGAAAGAAUCUUCCAGCACUACAAAAAACAAAGUGGAAAAAUGACAUAAGAACAUGGAGGGUCCUGUCAAUGUUGAAAUUAUUGAAAGUUAUGAUGGCAGACAAAAUGAAAACAACUUAAUGAAAAAGCAAGAGUUCAUUUAUGAAUAGUAAAGGACACUUAGCUUUCUGAAAAACAAGGGUCGUUUAUAAAUAGUAAAAGCCAAUUGUGAAUAGUAAGGGUCAUUUCUUGUUUUGUCUUUUGUAUAGAGCAUUCAUUAUAUAAGGAGCUCAUUUUUCAUUUUCCAAGGACAGGUUUUAGAACCACCACUUUCUCUUUACCACUCUCUUUUAUAUAUCUUAGUUUGAAAUAAAAGCUUUUGGUUCUGAGCACAAUCCAUCCAUAUUAAGGUUAUUUUAAAAUUUCUGCAUUUUAAUUUUAAUUUUAACUUUAUUAUCUCUAGCAAAUUCCUAGUGUUGAACUAUAACAGAAUAUGUUACAUGUAUGAAAUGACAUCUUGUUAUUAAUAAGAAUCGUAAACCUCCAUUAUUGCAGAGGUUUGUAUGUUAAGAUGCUGCAAUUAUGAGUCCAAUCUUGACAUUAAUGUCGGAUGUCCCGGUAAAGGCCGAUUAGCCAGGUAGGCGUGAAGGGUCGUAAUUGGGACUUGGUUGAAGAUUGACUUAUGACUAAGGUUAACUAACAUAUAGUAAAAGUACCUAGUGCGACAGUGAAGCAAUCCGGUUCUUGUAUGGUAUCAAAGCCAUGGAAUACUUGUAUACAUAACUGUUAUAUGUUCAACACAUCAUUCCUAAUGAAUAUCAUCAGGAAGAAAAAUACUAUGAAAAAUAGUAAAAAAGAGGAGUAUGAUAUUCCUCGAAACUUGGAUCUGCUUAAUAAGUGGACGGUCCCAAAAGUGCCAUCCAGAAAGUUGUACCAAAUGGGAACUUUCGAGACUUUAGGUCUCAAACAGUUGUUAAAAUAACUAAAGAGACACUUACAGUAGAUAGUGAUCAUGCUACUUUCAAAUUAUUAUCUGAAAGUGAUUUUGCUCCAUAUCAUGAAACAUGUAAGUUUAUGCAUAUUGGUUUAAUUUAAGUCGUAUUUAAACCACCAACCCUGAGAGGUUUGCCUGAAAGCUUUAUUGCAGCUUUAAGAGAUGGCAGAAAUAAAAAUUGGAAGAAGUCUCUUAUUGGGAACGUCCAAACCAGUUUGGCUUAUGGCCCGAUGUAUUUUAAUGCAUAUCCUAAUCUACAGAUAUCUCUCACUGCUGAGAAUUCUUUGGAUGCUUUAAUUUUGAGUAUUAAAUUGCAUGGAUAUAAUUACAUGCCUGGUACUGAGGUUAUAUGUAUUUGCUAUAGGAUAUAUUAUAAACCUCUCCAUACUUUAAAUCCAAUGUGUAGAAUGAUGGAUUUCAAAAAUGAAACUAUUUUAAUAGGAACAAAUUUUUGUAGAUCCAAAGUUGUUACUAGGCGACUUAUAAAAUGAGAUGAAAUUGAUUUUCCAAAAGAAUGGAUCCUUGAGGAUGCAGCUCCUCCUCAAACAGAUCUCAAUGAAGAGAUUUCAGAGGUAGAACAAUCCGCUGAUGGUACUGUUCGAAUCAGAUUUUCUGAUUCAUUACCUCUAUUAAACAGAGUUGAUGAUUUGUUUGUUGCAACAUCAUUGAGAUUAACAAGAUCAACAUCUUCAUACAUAUCUCCUGUUGUUGAUUAUAUUGUUAGAUCUCCCUCUAGAGCUUCUACAUCUCAGAUUAGAGAAAACACUAGAAUGAAUAACAUCAGGAUUGAUAAUGAUAAUAUUGUUACUGCAAUUCCUGAUAUGAAUCCAAUUGAGUCCUAAAUAGAAUUUCCAACUGGUUUAAAAUGAAUCACAGCCAAAUUGAUUUUAGUCCAGGAUCUCUGGCAAGAAAUUUUUUUUUCUAAAGAAUACUAUAAACCUAAAUGGGAAUUGUUCCGAACAUAGUUUUUUCAAAACUGUAGCAAAGAAGAAAAAACUGCUUUCCAGGAAGAGUUCUAUGCAGAUCUUUCUGUGCAUAGUAAAAUAAUUGCUUUCGUGCCCUAAUUUAUGGCCAGAUAUGUGGAUAAUUAUAUUUCCAUGCUAGCUAGGGAGUUUAAAUUACCUACCGGAGAAACUACUGCUUCAGUAUUCUCUCUCCAGCAGUCCUUUCAAAUCGAAAGAGACAACAAGUUAGUUUAUUUUACAGUCUUUGUUAUGAUGAUGGAUAAUGAUACUGCCCUAAUAACUGCCCAAAAUAUCAAUACAAUGCUAAAACAGAAUAACUAUGCUAACUAUUAAAUGAGCAUCUUGGGAGAGCAAAUGAUUUCUCUAUAUAAGUCCUAUCUGAUUUUUGGAUAGAGCUUAGUAUUACUAAGCAAAUAGACCUUAAACUUAAGGACCCUGAGGUCCUGGCUACUCCAACCAUCCAACCUCUCCCUGAAAUCCAAGAUUUCAAGUUAUCUAUUGACUUGGAUAAUAUCAAAAAGUUGCUAGAAGAAAAAUUUCGUGGAUUAAAGAUAAAUCCUAUCCAUGAUGAAAAUUUUGCAGGAGACAACGAUGGGCAUGCUACUCCUGUUGAGAUAAAUAAGAUCUCAGAUAAAUUUGCUAGAAAAGCCUACCCAAAAGAUGUUUUAUUAUCCUAGAUCAACUCUUCAGGAUGUUCUAUUUGAAGAUCAAGGAUUAUAUGUCCUCAAUAGUUUCAGAGGUGAUGAAAUCUACGAGUGGAAUGUAGAUGACUUAUCUGAUAGAUAGAUAUCUAUAAUGGUACAUAGAAUGUUGAUGUACAAUACCAUAUAUAAAGCCCUUUCGAAAACUAAUGAUAGGGGCAUUGCCGAAAUCAGGUUUUACUGGUCAACUUAAAGGCUGGUGGGAUAAUUAUCUUAUCCAAGACCAGAAAACCAAAAUCAUCCAGUCUGUAUAGUAGUACAUGACCAAAGAGAGUUAGAUGGUCGAAUCAGGCCCUUAUGCAAAAGAGAUUAGCCAAUCAUAGGCUAGAGAUAAUAAAGUGUAAAUUAAAAUUAAAAUGCAGAAAUUUAAAAAUAACCUUAAUAUGGAUGGACUGUGCUCAAAACCAAAAACUUUUAUUUCAAACCGAGAUAUAUAUUACAAUGGAAAGAGAGUGGUGGUUCUAAAACUUGUCUUUAAAAAAUGAAAAAUGUGCUCCUUAUAUAAUGGAUGCUCUAUACAAAAGACAAAGCAAGAAAUGACCUUUACUAUUCAUAAUCGACCUUUAGAGGGACAUCGAACCGGAUCGCUUCACUGUCGCACUAGGUACUUUUACUAUAUGUUAGUUAACCUUAGUCAUGAAUCAAUCUUAAACCAAGUCCCAACUACGGUCCUUCACGCCCACCUAGCUAAUCGGCCUUUACAGGGACAUCCGGCAUUAAUGUCAAAAUUGAACUCAUAAUUGCAGCAUCUUAACAUACAACCUCUGCAACAAUCGAGGUUUAUGAUUCUUAUUAAUAACAAGAUGCCAUUUCAUACAUGUAACAUAUUCUGUUAUAGUUCAACACUAGGAAUUUAGCCCAUCAUAGGCUAGAGAUAAUAAAGUUAAAAUUAAAAUUUAAAUGCAGAAAUUUAAAAAUAACCUUAAUAUGGAUGGAUUGUGCUCAGAACAAAAAGAUUUUAUUUCAAACCAAGAUAUAUAUUAUAAGGAAGAGAGAGUAGUAGUAGAGAGAAAGUGGUGGUUCUAAAACCUGUCCUUAAAAAAAUAAAAAAUGAGCUCCUUAUAUAAUAGAUGCUCUAUACAAAAGACAAAACAAGAAAUGACCCUUACUAUUCACAAUUGGCUUUUACUAUUUAUAAACGACCCUUGUUUUUUCAAAAAGCUAAGUGUCCUUUACUAUUCAUAAAUGACUCUUGCUUUUUCAUUAAGCUGUUUUCAUUUUGUCUGCCAUCAUAGCUUUUAAUAAUUUCAACAUUGGCGGGACCCUUCAUGUUCUUAUGUCAUUUUCCCCUUUGUUCUUUGCAGUGCUGGAAAAUUCUUCUAUGGUUGUUUGAAAUUUUCGCAAAUAAUCAUCCAGAUCUAUUUCUUCAUCACUCUGGAUAUCCUGCAGGUCACCAGCCAAGCAAUCCCCUGCAGAAGAGAUGGACAUAUCUGAAGUGUACUCCUGAUCAAGAUUUUUCAAUAAAUCCUUUUUGACUUCUUCCAUAUAGGAUGCCAAAAUCUCAGCUUUGGUCAUUGUGCCCUUCUUUAUUUGGAACUUUCUAGUGAUGUUCUUGAAAGGCUAAGCUCUUCCUGUUCAUGAGGAGACUCCAUUUCUUUUUGUUGCCUAUAUUUUGCAACAGUCAUCUUUAUUGAUUCAAUUAGUUGGUGACCAUGGACAUUACCGUCACCGGUUUGCUGGUUUAGUUUACUCCAAAAUUUUGUAUCAUAAGCUCGCAUCAAACAUGCUAAAUUAUCAGUAUUUGAUUUUACCUUUAUGGACCACUUCAAGAUCCAUGAAAUUGAAAAUUCAAUAAAGAAAUAUAUCAUAAAUAUUCCUUCAAAAUAUGCAUUAUCUUUUUGCAUUUUUAGAAGUAUUGGUGAUACUUCUAUCCAAUCUUUGUACAAACUCUUAAAUGGCUCAGGCAAUAUCUUUGGUGAGGGACCAUGCAAGAUCCACCAUUUAGCAAACCAAUUUGGUAUGCUCUGUUUGUGCACAUUUGCACAUAUUUUCACAAACCAUGAAUGAGAUAUCUCAGGAUUCUCACAUAAGAAAACCUUCUCAAAGCUUUCCAUAUAAUUCCAGUUAUUAUAUUUUACAGCAACUUUCUGCUGUUCGGGAUGUAUAUAUUCUCUUUCUUUUAGAGUACUAAAGCCCCAUUCUUCAUGAGUCAAAAUCUGUUUGAUUAUAAUUUUAGAAUAACUAUAAUCCUUUUGGACUGCUUCAUUAGCAUAUAAAUGUUGGAUUUCUGCAGAACCCAUUGCAGAUAAUAUGGAUUGAUAAUGUUUGCGAUAUUUGUAAGAUAUCGCAACAUAAAACGUAUUAUCUAAAUACCCUUGCAUCAGCUGCCAAAGAUUAUCUUUCCAUCUAAGAUCAUGAUUUUCGAAGAAAAUUAUGACUUCCUCUGUCUUGUUGCGUUCAUACAACCCAGUAUUCCUAUUGUCAUCUUUAAUAAUACUUGAAUACGAAGGGACCUCAUUAUCCCCUUGUUUCUUAGACUUGAAUUUCAUGAAUUCUAAAAAUUCUUGAUAUGUCUGUUCAUCUGUAUUCAUACCAGAAGAACUUGAGCUUCCAAUGCUCGAGGAUAUUAGCCUCUGAUUUUCAAUUUGGGCGAGGACAUUACCUCUGCCUUUUGGUGAAUUUCUUCCACCUCUUCCUCUGAAUGAAGAAGAAGAUCCUCGUGAGGCCAUCCUGAAAUCCAUAAGAGAAAACAUUAGCUUAAAAAUUCACUGGUUGAAAAAUCGGGUAGACUAUUAUCCGAUCCUUUUAAGUAUUAGAUUUCAAAAUCAAAUGGGCUAACAAAGCCUGCCAUCUUGCAAAUAUUUGCUUAGAAACAUCAUGUUUAAAAUCUUUAUUAAGAUAAAUUUUGCAGCUUGGCAAUCAAUCUUAAUCAGGAAAUUUUGAUUCCAAUGAUCGCUUUGGAAUUUAAGAACACAUUUAACUAUUACAAGAAUUUCUUUAGCUACAGUUGCAUAAUUUUUCUGGCUGGCACUCCAUUUUUCAGAAUAAUGUUGAACAAUAUGAACACGUUUUUCUUCUGGGGAAUAUUGCUUGAGAAUUCCACCAUAUCUAAUGUUUGAAGCAUCAAUAUCUAUUAUUUUUGUCCAAUUGGGAUUUGCAAGUGUAAGGCAUGGUAGAUUUUCAACUUUAGCCUUAAUAUUUCUUACCACAGUAGUAUAGCUCAACGGAUACAGUUGUAGAAACCAAGGUUUCCCUAAGAUAAACUCAUCAGUAAUAUCUUUAACUAAAACAAAAGUUUCAGGCAUACAAACUUUGUUUUUGCAACUGUACACUUUAGGGAUUUUAUAUUCGACUCCUUUUUUUUGACCACUUGCGUUCCUCACAGUAUUAGUGGUCUUUUCGAAAUAUUUUGAAGGUAUCAUACCUUCUUGAAUGCAGUUACAACCUGCCCCACUAUCAAUGAGAGCUGUAAAUUCCUUCUUAUAGUUGUAAUCAAUAAGAAGGGUGACCUUAGCAUAGAAGUGUUGGUGAGCAGCUCCUUCUAAGGUUUUAAGGAAAUCUCCAUUAGGGAGAGUUUGACUAUCCUCAGUGGGUAAUAAUUUUGAAUUUUCUAAAGCAGAAACCCUUUGAUCUAAUGCCAAAUUAUGACUCUUAAGGAAAGAUAUUUCCUUCUUGAGAUUAUCUAUGUCAAUCUUCAGGUCCUGGGUUAUUGCUGAAAUAACUUCAGUCAUGGUAUAAGGACCUUUUUGGGAGGGAAUAAUAUGCAUUUCCUUUUGAAUAGGGGAAGAACUAGUGGAUGGCUUAUCAUCUUGCUUACUCAGGUCUUUUAGCAUUUCUAGUAGAGCUGCUAAUUUGUCAUCUUUCAAGACAUUAAUUUCUAUAUCUUGAAAUUUGGAUAUGAUGUUGUAUAAAACAUCCUCCUCCUCCUUGGUUUACAAGGUUGUCCUUCUUGGCAAGGUAUGCACUCAUCAUCUGAAGGCAUAUAGUCUUCUUGAUGAAGAAUUCGCAGGUCCUCAUCGGUUGAAUCAUUUUCCUCAUUAUCACUAUGGUUUGGACUGGAGUUUUCCGGAGAGGAAUUGAGCAAAAUCUUACACAGAGAGUCUUUAAUAUCAUCAUCAAUAGUGAAACUCUUGAUCUUGCUUUUUACUUUGCAGUCUUUUGCAAAGUGACCAAAUCUACCAUAUCGGUAACAAGUGUUGGCCUUCUUGGCUUUUCUAUAAGUCUUUUUGGAUUUGCAAUACUUUUUUUUUCCUUUUUCUCAUUCUUUUUCGAUUUUUUCUCCUCAGAUUACUUUUUCUUACUCUUAUGAGAUUCUCUAGAGGUUUUGGAAAUAUCUAUGACAAAUUGCUCACAAAAUUCUCCCAGCUGUUGUCUCUCAGUAAGACGAUACUUCUUAAUCUGUUGGUUUAACUUAAUCUCACUACAUAAUGCUAAACCUUCUUGAGUAACAACCUUUAUAAGGUUACCGUAGGUGUAAGCCUCAUAGUUAAUACUCACAUUUGGACCUUUAAGGGUUUUCCUAAUUCUUUCAGCAAAUAACAUGAGGAGACCAUAUAUAAACUUGGACUUCCAAUGAGAACUAUUACUCUCAGGUAAUUUCAUCACUCUAGAAAGGAAUACAUCUUUAUAUCAUCUCCAAGAUGUCAAAGUCUUACAUCUAAGAUUUUGGAGCAGAGUCCUAAUACUAUCACUAUUAUCGGAUCAUCUUCUAGAAAAGUGUUCAAUAUUAUUAAUAAUUAGAGUAUAAACAACGUUCAUGACCUCUUGACCAUCUUCUCUCUUUACUAUAGACUGGAUGAUUUUGGCUUUUUGGUCUUGGGUAAGAUAAUUAUUCCACCAGCCUUUAAGCUGACCAGUAAAACCUGCCGUAAUCAUUUCGGCAAUGCCCCUAUCAUUAGCUUUCAGAAGGGCUUUACAUAUGGUACUGUACAUCAACAUUCUAUGUGCCAUUGUGGAUAAGCCAUAUACAUUCCACUCGUAGAUUUCAUCACCUCCGAAACUAUUGGGGACAUAUAAUCCUUAUUCUUCAAAUAGAAUAUUCUGAGGAGUUGGUCUAGGAUAAUAAAACAUCUUUUGGGUAGGGUUUCUAGCAAAUUUAUGUGAGAUCUUAUUUAUCUCUACAGGAGUAGUAUGCCUACCGUUGUCUCCUGCAAAAUUUUCAUCGUGGAUAGGAUUUAUCUUUAAUCCACGAAAUUUUUCUUCUAGCAACUUUUCAAUAUUAUCCAAGUCACUAGAUAACUUGAAAUCUUGGAUUUCAGGGGGAGGUUGGAUGGUUGGAGUAGUCAGGACCCCAGGGUCCUUAAGUUUAAGGUCUAGUUGCUUAGUAUUACUAAGCUCAAUCCUUUUUAAAUCAGAUAGGACCUUAUCAAUUUUCUCAUGUAGAGAAAUUAUUUGCUCUCCCAAGGUGCUCAUAUAAUAGUUAGCAUAGUUAUGUUGUUUUAGCAUUGUAUUGACAUUUUGGGCAGUUAUUAGGGCAGUAUCAUUAUCCAUCAGCUUAGCAAAAGCUGUAAAAUGAACUACCUUGUUGUCUCUUUCGAUUUGAAAGGGCUGGUGGGGAGGGAAUACUGUAGUAGUUUCUCUAGUAGGUAAUUUAAACUCCCUAACUAGCAUGGAAAUAUAAUUAUCCACAUAUCUGGCCAUAAACCAGGGCACAAAAGCAAUUAUUUUACUAUGCACAGAAAGAUCUGCAUAGAGUUUUUCCUGGAAAGCAGUUUUUUCUUCUUUACUAAAGUUCUAAAAAAAUUAUGUACGGAACAAUUCCCAUCUAGGUUUAUAGAAUUCUUUAGAAAUUCUUUUUCUUGUCAGAGAUCCUGGACUAAAAUCAAUUUGGUUGUGAUUCAUUUUAAACCAGUUGGAAAUUUCAUUUCGGAUUCAGUUGGAUCCAUAUCAGGAAUUACAGUAACAAUAUUAUUAUUAUCAAUCCUGAUGCGAUUCAUUCUAGUGCUUUCUCUAAUCUGAGAUGUAGAAGCUCUAGAGGGAGAUCUAACAAUAUAAUCAACAGGAGAUAUGUAUGAAGAUGCUGAUCUUGUUAAUCUUGAUGAUGUUGCAACACACAAAUCAUCAGCUCUGUUUAAUAGAGGUAAUGUAUCAGAAAAUCUGAUUCGAACAGUACUAUCAGCAGAUUGUUCUACCUCUGAAAUCUCUUCAUUGAGAUCUGUUUGAGGAGGAGCUGCAUCCUCAAGGAUCCAUUCUUUUGGGAAAUCAAUUUCAUUCCAUUUUAUAGGUCGCCUAGUAACAACUUUGGAUCUACAAAAAUUUGUUUCCAUUAAAAUAGUUUCAUUUUUGAAAUUCAUCUUUCUACACAUUGGAUUUAAAGUAUGGAGAGGUUUAUAAUAUAUCCUAUAACAAAUACAUAUAACCUCAGUACCAGGCAUGUAAUAAUAUCCAUGCAAUUUAAUACUCAGAAUUAAAGCAUCCAAAGAAUUUUCAUUAGUGAGAGAUAUCUGUAGAUUAGGAUAUGUAUUAAGAUACACCGGGCCAUAAGCCAAACUGGUUUGAACUGUCCCAAUAAGAGACUUCUUUCAAUUUUUAUUUCUGCCAUCUCUUAAAACUGCAUGAAAGCUUUCAGGCAAACCUCUCAAGAUUAGUGGUUUAAAUGCGAUUUGAAUUAAAUCAGUAUGCAUAAACUUACAUGUUUCACGAUAUGGAGCAAAAUCACUUUCAGAUAAUAAUUUGAAAGUAGCAUGAUCACCAUCUACUGUAAAUGUCUGUUAAGUUGUUUUAACAACUUGUUUGAGAGCUAAAGUCUCGAAAGUUCCCAUUUGGUACAACUUUCUGGGUGGCACUUUUGGGAUCGUCCACUUAUUAAGCAGAUCCAAGUGCUGAGGAAUAUCAUAUUAAACAGAUCCAAGUGCUGAGGAAUAUCAUACUCCUCUUUCUUACUGUUUUUCACAAUAUUUUUCUUCCUGAUGAUAUUCAUUAGGAAUGAUGUGUUGAACAUAUAACAGUUAUGCAUACAAGUAUUUCAUGACUCUGAUACCAUACAAGAACCGGAUCGCUUCACUGUCGCACUAGGUACCUUUACUAUAUGUUAGUUAAAAUAAUAAUAAUAAUAAUAAUAUGAGAAUAAAAAUUAUAAUGUUUAAAUAAAGGAAUAAACAUUGAAUUUUAUGUUAAUCUUUUGAAAACAUGUCUUUCACAUUAAGAUGACCUUUUUUUUUUUUUCAUGUAUUAAUUAAUUUAAUUUAGACUAAAGAGAAUUUUCUUAAACAUAAAAAAGAAAUAGUUUUUUUUUUCUUCAAUUAGUUAGCUAAAAAUAGACUAUUGAACAAAAUAAAAGCUAUUUAAAAAAAAUCACUCGAUUCAGGUUUGAUAUUUUCAUAAUAAAUAAAUAAAUAAAUUCGUAAAGUUAGCCACCCUAUUAAGUUAGUUAAAAUAUUUUGGUCAACCGUUUUAAAACAGUGGUUCUUAAAUGCCUUAAAACUCUUCUUAGGACGUUAAUUGAACUCUUAUCUAUUUUCUCUAAUUUUAAAAGUUUAUUUCUGUUUUUGAACCUUUUAAAUUUUUUAAAGUUUUUUUUGAUUUUUCUAUAAAAAUUAAGUGGCGACUCUAAAAAUGAUUUAAGAAGUCAAGAAUCAUUUUCUUUCAAAUAAUUUAUCUUUCCUUUGAUAAAUCCAAAAAAGAUAAAACAAUUAAUUUGUUUAAAAUAAAAAGUUAUACUUAUAUUUUUAUUGGGUUCUGUUUUCCUAGUUUUUUUUUCGCGCACGAUUUUAUUUUAGUCUUGUUUCAGUUAGAUCAUUGUAGUGUAGUAUUUGUUAGGAUUUACAUUCUAGUUAUUUAUUUAAUUUUUUUUGUAUCGAAAUAGUGAAGCAAGAGUCAGUAUGAUUACAAAAAUUUUCAAGUCUCAAAUCACUUCAGAUUUUGCUUUAGUAUGCUCUCUUCCAUGUCCAGUUAUUCUCAAAUCACAGCGAUGUUACUUCUUCUGGACCAUAUCAAAUAAAGACAAAAAAAAAAAGAGAAUAUUUGGAUUUUCUUGAAUCCGACCUUGUUAAAAAAAAAUAAAAUUUCAGAUUAUCAUCCUAAUCUGCGUGAUAGGGCAAUGAUAUAUUAAAAAAAAGACCUUGUAAAUUUUGAGAAUCCAUGAAUUUAAAAUUUUGAAUCCCUCUAUCAAUUUACAGAUUUUUUAAAUGUAAAAAUGAAGAUAUCUAUGUAUAAAAGUAAAUACAUAUCUAUAAUGUAAAAGUGAACAUCUCUCUUAAAAGAUAUAAAACUUAAAAUAAUGUGACCUAAAAGUAAAUUCUCAUAAUAAACUGCUUUGAUGGUUUUCAUUUCUUUAUUAGUUAAAUACUAGUAAUAAGAAAGAUGAUUGGGUGUCUCUUAGGGUAUACUAGUAUCUGCGCAAUGUGCGGAUAAUAUUUAAAGAAAAUAAUAAUAAAAAUAUAGAUUAAAAAAAUAGUUUAGAUCUACAAAUUUACCAAAUGAAUAUGAAGAAAAGUCAAAAUUUUCUAUUAAAAAAAGCAAUCAGUUGAUUCCCAAUUAUAUUUCUUACAUUUUUCUUUUAUCAUAUAUGUUUUCUAGUGAUACUAUUUUAUCAAAAGUUUAUAAUUUAACGAUGAUGAAAUUUACUACUCAAUAACUUACUUUUUGUUUCAAAUUCUUAUUGUCUUACUCAUUAGAUAAUCCUACAACAAUAAAUUAUAUCUAAAUAGAGAAGUUAUCAAACUUACCAAAUUAUUUUUCUCACGAAAAAAGAAUAUUGUGUAAAUUCAUUUUAGCAAAUGAUUUUCUUGUUUCAAGCAUAUGUUGUGAAUGGAGUAUUUAACCUUCUAAUGCGCUUUUUCUUUUACCGAUUUCUUAUAAGUAAAAAUGAAAAUCUCUCUAUAUAAAAAUGAAUACAUAAAAGUUAACAUCUCUUGUAAAAAGGAUAUGAAACUAAAAAAAUGUGACCUAAAAGUAAAUUCUCACAAUUAACUGCUUUGAUGAUCUUCAUUUCAUUAUUAGUCAAAUACUAGCUAGUAAUAAGAAAGAUGAUUGGGUGUGUUUUAGGGUAUAUUUUCUUACGCUAAUUGAUUUCCUAGUAGUAGAUCUCAAAAGGUGAUCUCUAAUAUUAGAUUUUUCAGGAAUAUCUAUAUUAGAGAUCCACUUAGGGGUUCAAUUUCUUUCCACUUUGGAAGAAAAAUAAGAGAACCACUUAUGGAGUUAAUUUCUUUUCUUUUUGGAAGAAAUAUAAUUACCAUCUUGCUGUAUUUUUUCUUUAACAAAUUUCUUUUUAAAUAGUGUUUAAGGAUAGGUUAUUUAACUUGAUCUUUUUUGUUGAAUUUAUAUCACUAGAUAGAGCAUCUAUUGAUUCUUUUAGUAAUACUUGGUAAAAUAAAAUUUCAAUGUAAACAAGAACAAAUAAGUGACCGGGGAUAGACCUUACUGUACCAAUCAGACAACCUUAAUGAGGUAACGAAUUAGAGGUAGUAUUGACCUUACUUUUUUCUUCUCUCAUUUUCACAUCAAUAACCAAAUAUAUACGCAAUUAAGUUCAGUUUCAGCAACUUUAGGGAUAUUGUUUUUCUUCUAGUCUCUAGAGUAAAAAAGUUCGUACACUUUAAAAAAAAAAAAGAAAAUAAAUCUUAUCUAACUUUUUAAAGUGAAAUUUAUUCAAUUCCAUUCCAAGGAAAUAUAUUUUUCAUCUUACUAUAAUCGUUGCCACUAUUUGAACUACAUUUUCGUAUAAAUUUUUAACACGAAAUUAUUGAGUCUUAAGGUGGACUAAACACAACAACAAUAACAUGCCCAGUAUAUUUCCACCAAGUGGGGUUUGGGGAGGGUAAGCGUACGAAGUACAUAUCACUACCUCAGAUGUGAGAUAGAGAGGCUAUUUCCGAUAGACCCCCGGCUCAAAAUAAAACAAUCUAGACAAAGAAAGAGUCAGAUGCUAUAAUAGCUCAAAAACAAUCUUUCAUCAUGUGAUUUCAAGAUUAGUUUAUGCAGCUAAACCAAAUCGCAUACACCACAAAAGAAUAGAAACCAAAAACCUUAAAAAGGACAACAAAUACUAUAAGAUCAGAUGCUAUAAGGUGGACUAAAAACAAAAUUCGAUUUAUCCGUUAAGGAAAAAAAAUACUUCGCUGUAAAUGCAUCCAUUCAAUUUGCCCCAUUUUCACCUAAAUUGGUCAAAAUACAUAGUUUUUUUUUACUUUUCGUGAAAAAUUAUAUAUGUAGAGCAACUAAUUAUAUAUUGCCUAAAUGCAAUGAAUCACACUUCUCUUUGUAGGUAUAGAAUAUAGAUAGAGCGUUAUGUACAUUGGUUUAAUACUUCAAUCGAAUCAUACAACUAAUUAAUCAAUUCAAAUAUCUUUUAAUUCAAUAUUCCUUCCUUAUUAUUCGUGGUUCUUAAUUUGUCAACGGAAAAGGUACGAAUAUACCCUUGAAUUUUGAUAAAUGGUAUAGAUAUACUCCUCGUUAUACUCUAGGUACAUAUGUACCCUCGCCGUUAAUGAAAAUGUAGGAAUAUACCCUUAUCACUAACGGAGGGAUACGUGUCGAUUUUCUAUUCUCUAGUCUUUUCUAAUUAAAUUCAGUUAAAAUAAAUUUCAAAUCCAACCCAAAUUAAAAUUAAACCCGACCCAAAUUAAAACACCACCCGUUUAUGAAUCCCGGGCUUCUAGGAAAGUUGAUAAAGCCAUCAAGAGCAUCUGGAUCGUGGUGCAGGCUUGCAUUUUUUGGUGUAUUUAGCGUGAAAGGAAUCUUAGAUGUUACAAUGCAGUAUCAACUCCCUAACAUCUGGGUUUUUGAUUAGCCGUUUUAGUUGGGGAAAUCUUUCCCCAGUAAAUAAUCUGACCACUAUUUGGAACUUGUCAUCUCCUUAGUUUUAUUAUACUCUUUGUGUUUCAGAGCUGAUAUUUUCUCAGUUUGGAAUUUCUGCAUCUUCUUGAUGCCUUUAAAUGGUAGUUCACUUAUUUCAUCAAAAAAAAAACUGCUGAUUUUGACCUUUAAAUCUUUAAUGUUUUUUCAGUUUGGUUUUGACCAAUAUCUCUCCUGACGUUUACAAUCCAUGAGACUUUUCGAGUUUAGUUCUGAUAUCAGUGUGAAUAUAUUGAUUUAAGGAGUGAGGAAAAAUUCUCUGGAAAUCCUUAGCAGUUGUACGUUUGAGUUGGCUAGUGUAAUGAUUACAGUUGAUGUCUCGUAUGAAAGACUUAAACUAUUGAUAUUGUACCCUCAUGUUUCUGUUGUUUUUCUGCAGCUUGCAAUUUUGCUGAAGGCAGGUGGAUUGCAGACAGAAGGCGACCAUUGCAGACAGUCGGGUGGUGUUUUAAUUUGGGUCGGGUUUGAUUUUAAUUUGGAUUGGAUUUGGAAUUUAUUUUAACUGAAUUUAAUUAAAAAAGGCUAGUGAAUAGAAAAUCGACACGUGUCUCUCCGUUAAUGAUAAGGGUAUAUUUGGACAUUUUCAUUAAUGGCGAGGAUAUAUAUGUACCUAAAUUAUAACGAGGGGUAUAUCUGUGCCAUUUAUCAAAGUUCGGGAUAUAUUCGUACCUUUUCCGAUUUGUCAAUGCUAAUUUAAGUAUGUUUUCACCACUCAGACUUUCUUGAGUAAGUUUGAGAAUCCACAAAGGAAAUACUGAAUUUCAUAUUUUCCCUAAUCAUUUGAUUACAAUUAAUAAAACAAUAAUUAUUAUGUGGAAGUUAGUUGUUUACUAAUUCCCAACACAUAUCAAAGAUGCAUACAUUUUAGUAGUAGAUUUUGAAGCAUCAAAGUCUGGUCAAUAUCUUAAGAUUUUUUUUCUCUCCGAAAACAAUAAAUUUUAUUUUGUUUUUAAGCUCUCGAGCAAGAAGAAUAAAUAAGAAAUGCACUAUCCGUCGUUGUGUAUAUGUUUUCUUUUUUUAAGAAGAUAUAUAAAAUUUUGGGGGUGGUUUAUUUUAGAGACAAAUAAUGAAAAAUUGUAAUAUAAGACUUAGUAAUGCAAAACUUGUAAUGUAUGGACUAUUUUUUGUCGAUCAUUUAGUUUGAUACAUUACAUGUUAUCGUGCAAUGACAUAUAAUUUAAAAUAUAUAUGUUAACUUGCUUUCAAAAUGAAAUAGUAUCUCUGUUUGCUUUUCUACGCUAAAAUGAGCAUUCUUGUCUCACAUUCUAUUCCACCGAUAUUAAUCUCGAUCAACUGCUGACAAAAAAUUCGAGAAAAAUCACAUUCCUAAUAAGCAAACAUGAAAAUUAAACAACUACUAAUAGUUUAAAUACUAUUUUUCAUUUGAUUAAUAUUUUUAAACUAACACCACAAUACAAUAGUGGAAAAAGACGAGAAGUGAGAUUAAUAGAAAAAAAAAAAGGCAAACUGCAAUUUUUUCUUCUUCUUGGAGAUAUCUCAAACAGGAAAGGAUCAUGAUACUGUGACUCAAAACAAUGAUAUAGUCAAGGAACUUAGAAGGAUUUCCGCCCGACUUGAUGCAUUAGAGGUCACUCAAAAUCCAUCUAACCCGAUGAAUAUAAUUGAUUUAAGGAAAAGUAUUUUUCAUCAAGGUGUGGGAUAAAGAAUAAUAUUUGCUCUAUGAUUAUUGAUUUUUGAAAGUGAUGCUACUGUUGAUAAGUUCAAAUAUGGUAGAUAAGUUGAAACUUGCAUGCAUCAAAUAUACUACUCCUUAUAAGCAACGAUGAUUGAAUGACUUAAGGCGACUAAGUAAUGCGCGAUUUUUUUCUCCAUUGGGAGUUACUCUGAUAAUGUUCUUUUUGAUGUAAUUCUAAUGCAAGAUUGUCAUAUCAUGCUUGGACGUCCAUGUCAAUUUGAUAGGAAUAAAAUUUAUGAUAGGAGAAAGAAUAGAGUUCCAGCUAAACAAAAGAAAAUACUUGUACCUUUAACUGUAAUGACCCUCACAGUCAUUUUCCUUGUUUUCAUAUAUUUUCGGUGUCUAAAAUUUUUCUAUAACUAUCUCAAGUUAUUUAUGAUUUGCUAGGACUAAUAGUUCAAUUUUCGAGCGGUUCGUGUGAGAAUUUUAAUAAUACCAAAUAUACAUUGUGAAUAUUUAAUCUAAAUUGACAUUUGGUAGAAAUAUAAUUUAUUACCUUUCCAAAUUUUUUUUUGAUGUUGAUAAAAUUCUUUAGUUAUGAUAUAUUUAUAUUACUGCAUAAUAGCUUUUAUAAUUUAUUAAUAGUUUAAGCGGAUAUAGUAAAUCUAGAUAUGUUAAAAUAUUACUAUUAUAUAAUAGAAGUUUUAUUAGAAAUAAUUUUCUAUUAAUUAGUAUGUAUUCAAAAUAUUAUAUAUAUUUUACCAUGAACCUAUGUAAUAUCCGAAUAGACACACACGCACAUAUUAAAAGUGUAAAGAUCCUUAGGAAAGUGAUUUGAACUUUUUGCCAUUCAUUAAAAACACUUUAGACAAAAUCAUCAUUUAUUAAGUUUUUUAUUAUAUUUAAGAAAAUAAAAAAAUUUCAUUAAUUUUUGCAAACUGGGGACUCAUUUGUUUGCACUUAAUGGAGGUCUGAAUCUGAAUGGUUCAGACUUCAAACCAUUAAGUGCAUUUAUUUUUUACUAAGAUUUUAGCUCUUAAUAGGUCUUAAUCAUUUAGAUCUAGAAUCAAGUCUUAAUAGGUCUGAAGAGGUAUUCCGGUGUUGGAUAAUAUUCACUGUCACUCUAUUCAUAAUCAUCAGGAAAGGAUCACGAUAUUGUGACUCAAAACAAGGAUAUAGUCAAGGCACUUAGAAGGAUUUUCGCUCGACUUGAUGCAUUAGAGGUCACUCAAAAUCCAUCUAACCCGAUGAAUAUAAUUGAUUUGAGGAAAAGUAUUUUUCAUCAAGGUGUGGGCUAAAGAAUAAUAUUUGCUCUAUGAUUAUUGAUUUUUGAAAGUGAUGUUACUGUUGAUAAGUUCAUACAUGGUGGAUAAGUUGAAACUUUCAUGCAUCAAAUAUACUACUCCUUAUAAGCAACGAUGAUUGAAUGACUUAAGGCGACUAAGUAAUGCGCGAUUUUUUUCUCCAUUGGGAGGUACUCUGAUAAUGUUCUUUUUGAUGUAAUUCUAAUGCAAGAUUGUCAUAUCAUGCUUGGACGUCCAUGUCAAUUUGAUAGGAAUAAAAUUUAUGAUAGGAGAAAGAAUAGAGUUCGAGCUAAACAAAAGAAAAUAUAAACUUGUACCUUUAACUGUAAUGACCCUCACAGUUAUUUUCCUUGUUUUCAUACAUUUUCGGUGUCUAAAGUUUUUCUAUAACUGUCUCAAGUUAUUUAUGAUUUGCUAGGACUAAUAGUUCGAUUUUCGGACAGUUUGUGUGAGAAUUUUAAUAAUACCAAAUAUACAUUGCGAAUAUUUAAUCUAAAUUGACAUUUCGUAGAAAUAUAAUUUACUACCUUCCCAAUUUUUUUUUGAUGUUGAUAAAAUUCUUUAGUUAUGAUAUAUUUAUAUUACUGUAUAAUAGCUUUUAUAAUUUAUUAAUAGUUUAAACGGAGAUAGUAAAUCUAGAUAUGUUAAAAUAUUACUAUUAUAUAAUAGAAGUUUUAUUAGAAAUAAUUUUCUAUUAAUUAGUAUGUAUUCAAAAUAUUAUAUUUAUUUUACCAUGAACCUAUGUAAUAUCCGAAUAGACACACACACAUACAUAUUAAAAGUGUAAAGAUCCUUAGGAAAGUGAUUUGAACUUUUUGCCCUUCAUUAAAAACACUUUAGACAAAAUCAUCAUUUAUUAAUUUUUUUUAUUAUAUUUAAGAAAAUGAAAAAAUUUCAUUAAUUUUUGCAAACUAGGGACUCAUUUGUUUGCACUUAAUGGAGGUCUGAAUCUGAAUGAUUCAGACUUCAGACCAUUAAGUGCAUUUAUUUUUUACUAAGAUUUUAGCUCUUAAUAGGUCUUAAUCAUUUAGAUCUAGAAUCAAGUCUUAAUAGGUCUGAAGAGGUAUUCCGGUGUUGGAUAAUAUUCACUGUCACUCUAUUCAUAAUCAUCAGUCACCACCACUAACCACCUCUGCCACCGCUACCUUUGUCAACCACCCCCCACCACUACCAACCACCAACCACCUCCAUCAUCGAUAAUAAAUAUCACUACCAACCACUAUUGUCAACCGCUACCACACCUACUACCUCUAUUAUUCUGAUCUAAUUAUAUUACCGUCAUCACUGCCGUCAACAACACCACCAUCAUCAAUCACUACCCGUCAAUCCCUACUACCGACCAACUCAUCUAUCAAAACUAGUACCACCGCUAACUAUUACUAAUACAUCACAUCCUUUGCACAUUCUUCGGCCGCCACCACCAUUGUCACUAUUAACGCCAUCUCUACCACUACUUCAACCACUACUAUCGGUACAAUUUAUUUCUACUAACAAUAUCUCCACCAUCACAACUAACAACAUUUCCAACUAGCACCAAUACAUCGUCAACCAUCAUGCAUUCAUUUUUCAACUAUCACAAUCAACACCUCCAACUACUAACAUCAAGCAAUGUUACAUCACAACCACCACCACCACUAUCAACCGCCACCAUCAUAACAGUCACCACAAUACCAACCAUCACAACUAUCACCACCAACAUUACUAAUCACUAACAUCAAUCAUUGUCACCACAACCACCAUUAUAAACCAUCUUCACUAUCACUAACAAACAUAAAUAUUUUUUUUCAAUCAACUAAUAAUUUUGUUGUAUUAAAUUACAUACUUUUCUGGUAUAUAAUUAGUUUUUUACUUGAAUUGUAUUUUUUAUUUUAUUAUAUAUGCAUAUAAAAUUUUUUGCACAUUCAGAUGUUGAAAAACAAAUAGUCUUAAUCAUUCAGUUUUCAGAUCUAGAGACAACAUCUUAAUCAUUCAGAUGUGCAUUCAGAUUCAGACGUCUGAAUCUUAAAAAAACAAAUGCAACCUAGAUAUAUAAUAGGAAUCCUAAAAAAUAUUGUCUUAUUUUCGGCAAAACAAAAAUGAUUUUUGAUAAUGCAAGAAUUAUGCUUAGAGUAGGAGUCCAUAGAUAUUGUCCUUUUUGGCAAAACAACACGUAGUUUUGCAAAACUAGAAAAUUAAUUUUUUUUUUUUGGAAAAUAAUAAACUUUCAUUUGUAUUUUUGGCAAAAUAUUUUUAAGUUGCAAAAUAAAAAUUGAUGUUAGAGUCCUUUUUAUUAUAUUAUAAAUGUUUUUUUUUUCUUUCACAAUUGAUAGUAUCCUAAUACAAAUCAUAUAGGAGCCUAAAAUCAAAUUCUUUUUUGUUUUAUGAAUACUUCUUUUAUAAAAGAAUUUGCUUCGUGUAGUGAUUAAAUUAAAUGAAUAAAAGGUAUGUAGCAAUAGUUAUUUUUUCUGUUAAUUUUUUUGUUUCUUUAGUUUAAUUUUUGUGCAACUCACUUUAUCAAUAUAUUGUCAACCGUGUAUUUGGAUUGAUAAUAAAUCAUUAUCAGGUUUCACAAAUUCGAUUGUAAAUUGAUGAUUAGCAUAGAUUAUUUAACAACGAAAAAUGAUUUGCGAUGUUUGAGUAAUUGUCAUCUAUUAUAUUAUAUUGUCUUCAUACUUAAAAUACAAUAUUUGUUUUGAUUGUUAUUUAAAUUUUAUUUUAUGGUAUCUGUCAUAGAUCUGACUCAUUAGACCUUUUUAAGUUCAUUACGAGAUUUUUGAGUAGAAAAAAUAAACGUACUUAAUAAAUUAAUGUCUCCAUUUAGAUUAAAAGUAAACAAAUCAUUUAAAUUUAUUUUAACCUCUAUUUCUCUUCUAGCUUGACUUUUAGAAGAAUUAAUAGUAGUAGUUCUUUUCAUCCAAAAAAAGUUGAUAAGUUUACAAUAUUUCCAUUAAGUGAUUUAGGCAAGAUAUUAAGACCUUGAAAUUUGAAUUUUAGAAGGUAUUGAUGUUAUUAUUAGUUUUUAUAUUUAGGCCUGAAUAUAUUAUAGAAACUUAAAAGUUGAAACAACAAGUUUUCAUUUUUAAGUAUUGUUACUUAAAUUUUACUGUCUUCAUUACGAGAUUUUUGAAUGAAAAAAAUAGACAUACUUAAGGAAUUAAUGUCACCUUUCAGAUUAGAAGCAAACAAAUGAAGCCAAAAUCAUCAUUUAAAUUUAUUUUAACCUCAAUUUCUCUUCUACCUUGCCUUUUAGAAGGAUUUAUAGUAAUUGUUCUUUUCAUAAAAAACAAGCUGAUAAGUUAUACUAAUAUUUUUCUUAAUUGAUUUAGGUAUAUUAUUAAAAUCUUGAAAUUUAAAUUUUUGAAAGGUAUUUUAAUGUUAAUAUUAGUUUUUAUAUUUGAACCUAAAUACUGAAUAGGAACUCGAAAGUUAAAAAAACAAAUUCUUAAUUUAUUUCGAAGUUCUAAGAAAUAAAUCGUCUACAAUUUCUAUAUAUAGUUAGUAGUCAUAAUAUACUCCUUUACUUUGACAUAUAUAUUUAGAUACAUAAACUACUGCCAUGCAGUUCCAUUUACCCAUUUUAGUGUGUCUUGGAUAUUUGACUUGAAUCCCAAAAGUUAAAUAAUUAUUUCCGUCAAGUUGUUCAAGCCCGGGUCUUAUUGGGGCACUAUUUGAGGCUUUUCAGAGAGGAUUCUAACCUUGGCUCCAGUUAGGCCAGGUUUAUCGUACCUUUAGAUUGAGCUUAUUUAUGAUAAUUGUGUACUAUUAUGCUAGGCUAGUUUUCGACAAGUAUUUGUAGAUUAUGUAUCAUUUAAUACAUAUGUCGUGCCUUAUUUAUCCGAUUAGGACCUUUUUCAAGUAAAAUUUUGGUAUCUUAUCUUUUAGUAUGACAUAGCAUCUAUCACUUUAGGACGUGAAAUUAAGUUGUGAAACCUUGUAUUCAUCCCUUUUUAAUUAAGAUAUGCAAAUGGUUAUUUAAAUGUAUUUUAGUUUCGGUUCAGGUUCAGCAUAUUCUUUAUUUCUGUCAUUGGUUAUGAAUUUUGGUACCACUUUAGCAUUGGUUAUGGUAUGACUUGGGUUUUAAUUUUACAGUUGGGUAUGGCUACUAUGGAUUUCGGUUCGAGUUCGGCAACUGAUUGUGAUGAUUCGGGAGUACUGAGAGUUGUGAUUCCUUUGAAUUGUGGCUCGAGUUCGACAUCUAAUUAUGAGAUCUGUGUAUAUUAUGUAUGUGGCCUAUCGCGACUCGAACCAGGGCCUGAUAGUGACGGGUAUCUCAAGACCACCAUGAACCGAAAACCAACCCUUUCUCCUAACCUUAUGAGCAGAAUAAUAGCAAUAAAGAUAAAGCGGAAGCCAAAUAAAGAUAGUAAUAAGAAGAUGAAUACACGACUCAAUGAAAAUAAGAGUCAAAACAAUAACCAACUAACCCACAUCUGUCCACAAUAGCCUCUAAAACUAGAAUAUCAAAUAGGUCGGGACAUGCCCCCGACUAUGAUCAAAAGAAUUCAAAAGUACUGAGUCAAAAUAAAAGAAUAUGUAAAUGAUAAGCCCUUCCGAAUGAUGAAGGCUCACCACUUACAGCUACUCGACGAACGUGCUAAUCCACCUAACACUGCACAAGGGUAAAAGAGGUGUCUUUGGACCCUACAUUACGAAACAAUAUAAAGUCCUAGGAUGAUCAAUGGGAUAAGCACUGGCAUGUAGCUUAGGAUAGGCGUAAAAUAAUGCCAUGUCCAAAACCAACUAAACCACAUGCAUACAUUGUCCAUACACAAACACACCCAUAUAUAUAUAUAUAUAUAUAUAUAUAUAUAUAAUGUCAGGAUAGGGAUCAGGGUUUAAGUAUAAGAUUUAAAACCAUUAACCUGGAUUGUGUAGCUCUAACCAUCCUAAGGGCACCCACGGGCUAUAUGGGUUCAGCUCCCCCUGCUGAAAGGGUCCCAGUGCGUGUUAGCCACACGAAUCAGAGAAAUUGAAGGAAGGGCCAAAGCCACAGAGGCUCCAACCAUUCCUACUAUAUAUAUAUAUAUACCCCCACGCCGGCAAACGUGAUUUUCAAUAUCGGUUCCUCCGGGACCUCCACCUUCCACAGCGAGCUACACAAUUCCCUUUAAUUCCAAAUUAAAAUCAUUUACAUACAUUCUCAUCCAUCAACCAAAGAGUCUUUUAAUUAGGCAUUUACCAUUGGUUUCGUCAUAUCAAAUAAAGUUAAGCUUGCAAGCCAAUUCCAUUAUGCCAUAUCAAAACCAAUUAACUAAAUAGACUCUAAAGUUUCCAAUUUAAAACCAAUCCAAUGAUCCAUGGCCACCAAGGCCUUUCAAAAUCAAUUUAUGUUCCAUUAACAUUUUAUGCACUGCAAAGUUUCAAAAGCGACGUAGAUUAUGUAUAUGUCCAUGUUUCAAAAUCAAUUUUAUAAGUUGGGUUGAGGUUAAAGUCAAUUCCAAAUCAUUGAACCAUAAAAUUUGGGGAAACCCAUGUUUCCUAUCCCAAUUCCCACACCAAUGUAUCUAUUUAGUUCAAAAUCAUGAGAAUAAAGCAUAAACAACCAAUUCAAAAUCAUGAGAACUCAAUUCAUGGAACAACCAUUCCAAAAUCCCUCAAUCCAUAUUCAAAACCGAAUAAUUAAAACACAUGGACAACAAUUUAACACAUGCUUUUAUAUAAAAUUAGUUUACGAAAGAGAUACAGGCCUGAAACUCAUACAAAUUUGUAAUCAAGUUGAAGUGUAGAGACCGGAUGAUGAAUGCACAGUGAAACCCUUGAAUGUUCUUGAAUUUUAUGUUUGACAGUGAAAUAGUAGGAUUUGAUAUUUAAGACUGAUAGGAAUGGGACUAUUUUAUGUUUUAAAGUCAUGAAAAAGGUAAAAAGACCAAACUCCCUUCACCCUUAAGUGAAAAGAAUAAGACUGGACAAAAAUUAUACUUUGGCGUGACAUGCCAAUAUCGUGGAGGUUAUCCUCUGUGCCACGCCAAUAUCAUAGAGGGUUACCUCCAUGACAUAGCAAUAUUGCGGACCCUCAAAACCUCGGGGUCCCAAAAUAACCUCGAACUCUUUUUCAAAAAUCUCAAAACUUUUCCUAAUUACCCUUUUAACAUCCCUAAAUACAAUUUAAGUCAAAAAUCGAUAUUAUGAACACGAAAAGGUCAAAAAUAAAUUCAUCAAAAAUUUUGAGGGUCUUACAUUAUCCCCUCCUUAGGAUCAUUCAUCCCCGAAUGAUGAGUUAGGACACCUUUAGCAUGAGAAUAGCAAGAAUACACUAGAAUUAAAUGACAAACUCGAAAAAUGACAAGAGGAAAAUGAAACUCAUACCUUAAGAACUUUCAUCCAACUCAGGGAAUAGAAUGGAUAUUUAGCCUUCAUAUCUUCCUCAUUUUCCCAUAUAGCCUCUUCUACCUUUAGGUUUCUCCAAA